rnacentral:SRP_RNA from 1 species
GCCGGGGAGUGUCGCGUCUCCCUGUCACCCAAGCGGGGGCUGAUAGUUGGAAGUUUCGCAUGAUACCGUCGGUCCAGUUCUCCUGCGUCGAUGGCGUGUCCGCUCUGAGCCUACAGUCGACAACGGCGUCUCCCUGAUGGGGGAUGGUCGUGGUUGAUGAUUAAUCCGGGACCGCGUGAGGCAGUAACCUGAGCAGCGAAAACGGGUAGCUGCGGGCGGCAGACGGAUCACACGCCUGAGUGGGCUGGGCCACCCGACGGGUCCUCUGCGAGGCAACCAACUGUUUU